GGGCUCGUCAAGAUAGUUAUCGGGUCCAAGUUUGAUCAGUACAUGCACACAGAUGUGCCAGCGCGAGACCUCACAGCCUUCCGGCAGGCCUGGGAACUGCCCUUGUUCCGGGUGAAGAGUGUGCCAGGGCGGCGGCUGGCAGACGGACGAACACUGGAUGGCAGGGCUGGGCUAGCUGACACAGCCCAUGUGCUCAAUGGCCUUGCAGAACAGUUGUGGCACCAGGACCAGGUGGCAGCCGGCCUGCUCCCCAGCUCCCCAGAGAGUGCUCCCGGCUGAACGGUGACAACAUCCUGGGUAGAGGCUGCUGAUGGACCUGGCAAACCUGUAUGAGACGGAAGAUGAGAAAUAGGUACACUGUAGCUGUCUUCGGACACCCCAGAAGAGGACAUCAGAUCUCAUUAUGGAUGGUUGUGAGCCUCCAUAUGGUUGCUGGGAUUUGAACUCAGGACCUUCAGAAGAUCAGUCAGUGCUCUUAACCGUUGAGCCAUCUCUCCAGCCCCUCCACCAAACCUUCUAUGUCAACAGCAUUCCUUUGUACCAUGAGUUUUGAUUUCUGAUCAUUAACCACUGUUGGCCAGAACACACAUUUUCCAGUGCUCCCGUAAGUAAGCCCUGUCCUUUCACCUGGAGCAGCCUUGCCCUUGAUGAAGAAACAACAGUUAAGCUAUUCUCUCCUCUGCAUCAGUUUGCGUCUCCUCUGCCACAUAUGCCAUCAUUUUUAUUUCUUCCCAAGAUUAUUGCCACUGUCCCUGAAGGUAAGGGACCAUAUACAUCAGUGGGUAACUUAUAACAUUUAACUUUUGGGGGAUAAUGGAAGAGGGGCAUCUGUGGCCAGAUCCAAGGCUGCACUUCCUUCUGUUGCACGUGUGCCUAACUUUGAUUUUCUUGCCUGCUUGAUAUCUUCUGACUGACCAAAGGAAAACGGUGGCUCGUGUUGUUUGCCCCUCAGCUCCUUUCUGGAUGGCAGGAGGUUAUUCUCUUGGACCUGCCGGCCAUUGACCAUUUGCACUUUCCAGGAUUGUGAUUCCCUGGAAGCCUUUGUGGCUCACAGUAAUCAGAACCUGCUUGUUCUCAUCUCACCUACCGUUACCGUAUUCUCUAGAGUCAAUGUACCUGUUAUUUUGAACUCUCAGUCUUUUAGCCUUACAACUUCUUUGGAAAUGACCAAAUUCACCACAAUUAAAACAUCGAGCAUUUUG
rnacentral:lncRNA from 1 species